rnacentral:rRNA from 1 species
AUGGCGUCGCCGGCGGCUCCGCCCUGCAGCCCCGACGCCUCGCCGGCCAUGGAGGCGCAGGCGGCCCUCCCGGACCACCUGACGGAGGACAUCCUCCUCCGCCUCACCACGGCCGCCGACCUCGCCCGCGCCUCCAUGGCCGGGCCCUCCCUCCGCCGCGUCGUCGCCGACCACUCCUUCCUCCGUCGCUUCCGCACCCUCCACCCGCCGCCUCUCCUGGGCGUACUCUCCGACCCCUUCCUCCCAGCCCAGCCGCCCCACCCCUCCGCCGCCGCCGCCCGAACCCUCGCCGGCACCGACUUCUCCUGCUCCUUCCUCCCCUCCCGCGACCAGCCCUGGAUUCUCCACGACUUCCGCGACGGCCGCGCCCUCCUCUGCAUCGCCCCUAUCACCGACGACCACUGCCUGGUGAGGGACGUCGCCGUCUGCGACCCGCUGCACCGGCGCUACCUCCUGCUACCCCCCGUCCCCCAGGACCUGUCCGAUCUGCUCUUUCACCUGGAUCCUUUCCUUGCUCCCGCCGGCGGGGACGAGGGCGCUGAUGACACUGCUGCGGGCGCUCCCUCAAGAUUCAAAGUCAUGUGCUUGGCCCAGUACCAGACCCGCUUGGUCCUCUACGUCCACUCUUCGUCAGGUCCCCAUGCCGGACAAUGGCGCGCCGUCGCAUUUGAUGGCUGGACCGCCCUCCUCGCAGGAGUCAGUGUCCAUGUGCUGUCCGCUGUUACGGUCGGAAAGCGCUACUACGCGCACGGGUGCUUCUGUUGGGUGGUAUGUGCGAUGGACAAGUUGCUCAUGCUCGACACGGCCACCACGGAGUUCUCAACCGUCGACCUUCCGUCUGAUCUCAUGAAUCACGAGCUGGCCUUCGUGGAAGCAAGCCAAGGGAGGCUUGGGAUGUUCGCUCUCAGCCAAACUCCCACACACCGCGUGCCUCGCCUCCGGUAUUCCAUUUUGGUUAGCACUGGGGACGACGACCCAGGGCAGUGGCAAAAGAAAAAGGUGGUCAAAUUGUCCCAUGAUCACCGCUAUCGGAUCAUUGGUGUAGCUGGGGUGUACCUGCUCCUGUAUGUGGUUACAGACGACCCGGAACCGUACCAUCCGGAUAAAGUGCCGGACCCGGGCUGCUGCUUUUCACUGAAUCUUCACACUAUGGAUCUUGAGCGCUUCUCUCGGAAUAGUGACAUAAUGCCAUUGCAGGACCAACUGUAUUCGGGCUUCCCGCCAUACUUGUCUCCACCAACCAUUUGA